rnacentral:misc_RNA from 1 species
GAUGAAGAACGCAGCGAAAUGCGAUAAGUAAUGUGAAUUGCAGAAUUCAGUGAAUCAUCGAAUCUUUGAACGCACAUUGCGCCCCUUGGUAUUCCGGGGGGCAUGCCUGUUCGAGCGUCAUUUCAACCCUCAAGCUCUGCUUGGUAUUGGGCACCGUCCUUUGCGGGCGCGCCUCAAAGACCUCGGCGGUGGCGUCUUGCCUCAAGCGUAGUAGAAUACACCUCGCUUCGGAGCGUAAGGCGUUGCCCGCCGGACGAACCUUCUGAACUUUUCUCAAGGUUGACCUCGGAUCAGGUAGGGAUACCCGCUGAACUUAAGCAUAUCAAUAAGCGGAGGA